rnacentral:rRNA from 1 species
UACGUAGGUGUCGAGCGUUGUCCGGAUUUAUUGGGCGUAAAGAGCUCGUAGGUGGUUUGUCGCGUUGUUCGUGAAAACCGGGGGCUUAACCCUCGGCGUGCGGGCGAUACGGGCAGACUUGAGUACUGCAGGGGAGACUGGAAUUCCUGGUGUAGCGGUGGAAUGCGCAGAUAUCAGGAGGAACACCGGUGGCGAAGGCGGGUCUCUGGGCAGUAACUGACGCUGAGGAGCGAAAGCCGUGGGGAGCGAACAGG